UACGUAGGUGGCAAGCGUUAUCCGGAAUUAUUGGGCGUAAAGAGCGCGCAGGUGGUUAAUUAAGUCUGAUGUGAAAGCCCACGGCUUAACCGUGGAGGGUCAUUGGAAACUGGUUGACUUGAGUGCAGAAGAGGGAAGUGGAAUUCCAUGUGUAGCGGUGAAAUGCUUAGAUAUCACGAAGAACUCCGAUUGCGAAGGCAGCCUGCUGGACUGUAACUGACGCUGAUGCUCGAAAGUGUGGGUAUCAAACAGG
rnacentral:rRNA from 1 species